CAUAAGCGGAGGAAAAGAAACCAACAGGGAUUGCCUUAGUAGCGGCGAGUGAAGCGGCAAAAGCUCAAAUUUGAAAUCUGGCUCUUUCAGAGUCCGAGUUGUAAUUUGAAGAAGGUAUCUUUGGGUCUGGCUCUUGUCUAUGUUUCUUGGAACAGAACGUCACAGAGGGUGAGAAUCCCGUGCGAUGAGAUGAUCCAGGCCUAUGUAAAGUUCCUUCGAAGAGUCGAGUUGUUUGGGAAUGCAGCUCUAAGUGGGUGGUAAAUUCCAUCUAAAGCUAAAUAUUGGCGAGAGACCGAUAGCGAACAAGUACAGUGAUGGAAAGAUGAAAAGAACUUUGAAAAGAGAGUGAAAAAGUACGUGAAAUUGUUGAAAGGGAAGGGCUUGAGAUCAGACUUGGUAUUUUGUAUGUUACUUCUUCGGGGGUGGCCUCUACAGUUUAUCGGGCCAGCAUCAGUUUGGGCGGUAGGAGAAUUGCGUUGGAAUGUGGCACGGCUUCGGUUGUGUGUUAUAGCCUUCGUCGAUACUGCCAGCCUAGACUGAGGACUGCGGUUUAUGCCUAGGAUGUUGGCAUAAUGGAGAAU
rnacentral:rRNA from 1 species